UCUUGCAAACUAAGGAUGGCGACCGGCGCACGGGUGAGUAACACGUAUCCAACCUGCCGAUAACUCGGGGAUAGCCUUUCGAAAGAAAGAUUAAUAUCCGAUAGUAUAUUAAAACCGCAUGGUUUUACUAUUAAAGAAUUUCGGUUAUCGAUGGGGAUGCGUUCCAUUAGUUUGUUGGCGGGGUAACGGCCCACCAAGACUACGAUGGAUAGGGGUUCUGAGAGGAAGGUCCCCCACAUUGGAACUGAGACACGGUCCAA
rnacentral:rRNA from 1 species